rnacentral:ncRNA from 1 species
CAGCAGGAGUUAGUCCUGCCGGGGAAAAAGUUAGCUCCCCGUAGUGUGGAUAGCAGAAAGGAGAGAAACCGAAUUUCUGAAGCCUAAGCGCGGAAGCAUUCGCCGUUGAUCGGGCCGUCGAAGACGCAGGGUGCCGUGA